rnacentral:lncRNA from 1 species
CCAUGUCCUCCCACACUGCUCGCUCCUGGCACUCCAUCUGGCGCAGAGUCCCUGGCACAGAUACACGUUGGUUCUGCAACACCAGGAAUGCCAGGAUGAUUUAGCCACCUCCUCACUUGUCUACCUUUCCCUCCCCUGCUUCAAAGACUUGGGUCGAUCGAAGCACCAAAGCAUCACUGUUGCUGACACUAACAAGUAGUGCCAAGGGAUUGCCUUUAAGGAAGAUCAGGAGCGGAACAUCUGGUGGCAAAGAAAAUCUUUCUAAUAGCCCCAUUCUAGUGACCACCUUCAACCUCCUCAUAGCAGGAGAGUUUGGGAGUAGGGGACUUAGGAUGUUUUGUUCUUUUAAUCAAUUCAGAAAAUAUGUAUGUUUGAAAUAAAAAUAAAAAUAC